rnacentral:rRNA from 1 species
UUUGAACGAGAAGCGGUUCGGCCGUGAGUAAGUGAGCGGACGGGUGAGUAACACGUGGAUGAUCUACCCUUGAGCGGGGGAUAACAGUCCGAAAGGAUUGCUAAUACCGCAUACGUCAGCUGGCGAUGGUCAGUUGGGAAAGCAGCCCUCUUCAUGAAAGGUUGCACUCGAGGAUGAGUCCGCGUCCCAUCAGCUAGUUGGUAGGGUAAUGGCCUACCAAGGCUAAGACGGGUAGCUGGUCUGAGAGGAUGAUCAGCCACACUGGAACUGAGACACGGUCCAGACUCCAUACGGGAGGCAGCAGUGGGGAAUAUUGGGCAAUGGGCGCAAGCCUUGAACCAAGCCAGGCCGUGUGAAGUUGAAUUGAAGGCCUUCGGGUCGUAAAAGCUCUGUGGGAGAGGGACGAAAA